AAAAAGCAGCUUUUGCACUCAGCACAACUGAGACAAGUGUCAUAAUACCUGGCUCUGCUGGCUAUUAACAACAACAGGGAGUACCCCCAGAAAAGCUAUCGGAUAUAAGGGGGAAAAAGAGCCUGCUCUUAAAGGUCCCAAGCACAAAUUCACUCAUUUUGGAAAGCAACCUAAAAUCACCAGAAAGAAAGGAGCACA